rnacentral:rRNA from 1 species
GAUGAACGCUGGCGGCGUGCCUUAUACAUGCAAGUCGAGCGACCAGACGAGUAGCUUCCCCCUCUGACGUUAGCCGCGGACGUGUGAGUUACACGUGGAUAACCUCCCUAUAAGACUGUGAUACCUUCGGGACCCCGUUGCUAAUACCUGCUAAUAUCUUGAACCGCAUGGUUCCCUUGUGACAUCCGGUUUUGCUGUUACUCAUAGAUUGAUCCGCGCCGGAUUAGCUAGUUGGUAAGGUAACGGCUUACCAAGGCAACGAUGCGUAGCCGAGCUGAGAGGGUGAUCGGCCACACUGGAACUGAGACACGGUCCAGACUCCUACGGGAGGCAGCAGUGGGGAAUCUUGCGCAAUGGGCGAAAGCCUGACGCAGCAACGCCGCGUGAGUGAAGAAGGCCUUCGGAUCGUAAAGCACUGUUAUUAGGAAAGAACAAAUGGGUAAGAAAAUAGGCACGUGAUGACGGUACCGAAACAAAAAGCAACGGCUAACUACGUG